UCGAGGACCUCGAACGAUGCGUUACUCUCUUUAAUUCGGGCAUAUUUUUCCGAUGAGUAGAACUCGCUCGCGGAGUCGUGAAAAUUAAUCGAAAGAGGCGCCUUUUCGGCGGUCUAUCCCAGCGAAAAAACGUUUCAGAAAUUCCGAAAUCAUUCGCGAUUUUCUCAGCCGCGGGGCGCGACCUUUUCGUGCGUAAGGAGAGCUGGCCCUUCGAUUAUUGCGAGUUACUAAUUCACAAUCAGUCCCUGCGACUCGCAUAUGUGAUGUGCGUAUAGAUGAAAAGAUGAAUGUUGGACUUGGGAACCACCUGCUACCAGUUCCUCUCGUCUCAUAUAUUAAUAGUAGGUCACUGGAUCAACGGACGCCGGUUGUCGCGUAUACGUAUGGAGAGAAACCGAGUAGAAGCCCAAUAAAACCCAGCGUAAUUCCGGAAGCCGAAAAACCGGAAAUCGUGUCCGUAAUGUCCGGAUCAUUCGGCGAAAAAAACACGAGCCUCCGUUUCUCUGGUUCCGAAGGCCCAGAAAUCCUUCGCGUCCAUACCGUGGUCCCGCGAAGCUUUCGCGAGUAGCAGCCAUAUUGGCUGAGUUUUUCCAGGAUUUUGAUCUACCUGAUUAAUCGAUUGAAUAAUCUCGCGGAAGAGUAAUUGAAAAAAAUUUGUAACUGUGAUGACGAUCGUCUAGAAUUAACAUAAUAUCGUCGGUUCUAAAAAGUUCGUUGAACUUUACAAAUUCAGCUCCAUUCCUAAGAAAAGGAUGAACAGAGAGAAGGAAAAAAUUGCGUUCCGAUUAAAGAUCAGCUCUCUCUUUGCUAACGGACAGUUUAAAACUGACUUACGUGACGUUCGCAACUUCAGUUUCUUAUAUUCAAACGAAACGCAUCCCGCAGCCCCGACGAUAUAACGAUGAUUUUAUAUUUCUAUUCCGUAAAUUAAUCUUAUCAUUUUCAGAUUUUCAUCGAUCAUCUCGCGACGACGAUCUCAUCGCGGAUCUCCGGUGACGAUUCGAUCGCUAUUCGGAAGCUGUGAUAUUCGGGAUAAUCGUUGAACAGGACUUUGGAAUGUUGAUUGUUCAACGGCUGCAACUUUAAUCCUGAGAUGACGUUCCCGGAUUCUUUCGGCUUCGGGUGCAGACUGUUUCUUUUCUGCGCAGCCAAGCCGUUGUGAAGACCAUAGUCAUGGAGUUAAUUUACCGACCUGUUGCGGUGUGUACGUGAAUCGCUGGAGGCGGAGGAGGGUGGUAGACGUAAUGGCUGGUUUUUGGGGGCGCCAAAACUGCGCUCGCUGCUAUGUGACGUCCCAACGAGGAUAUGGCCUCUCCUUUAGCGCUGAUUAUGCUUCCUUUCGUUGAAAUCACCACGCCGCCACCUUGUAUCAGUUUCCCUUUGAGGGCGAUAACUCCUCCGCCGAUGGCCUUCAGCGCUUGGAACAAGUGCUGAAAGACCAGCGAAAGUGAUCGUGGUUCGGACCGAUCUCACAUUGGGUACACACAACCCAACCUUGAUCUUGUAACGGAAUGAACCAUGUAGCAGACUUCCUCCAUUUUAACUUGACCCAGAUUCAUCGGGUUUGGAAAAAAAAAUGUGAAGUUUCAUCACCUCCAACACAUGUACAUCGAAUCCAACCACCUGUUGCAGAAACUGUGGACAGCCUUUCCCUACUUUCAAGUGCUCACAAAUUUUCGAAAAUUUGGUGAGUAUGAUUGGUCAUUUUAUCAUUUUAUUUCACCGAAUUUGAAAACUGUGUAACUCUGUAUCGGAUAAUUAACGCCCCGUUUUUCAAAUCCGGCAACUGAAUGCUGGUGGCAAAAAAAAUGCUGAGAUCAAAAAACGGAAAAUAAAAAAUUGUCAAUUAUGCACGUUCACACGACAACAUUAAUUAACGUGAUUUAUUACCUCAAUUAAUUUUUUUUUGUAAUUAUCAAUUAAUGGGAUCUCGACAUCCUUUUUUCUUAGCUUCCUCAUUCUACCCCUGCUUGUGGGUAUCUUACACAAACCGAAAACUCUUUUUUUGCCUUUUGUUUAAAUUUGUUUUCUUUUUUUUACGUUCGUCUAGAUUGUAGUAAAACUAGAACACUUGUUAGUCUAGCCUCUAAAAAUUCAGCAGCUUCAGCGAUCACUUGAACUUUAGAAAGGAUAUGUUAAGUAAAAUUCUACAUCCAUACAUGUACACGUACUUUACGACGGCUGCGAUUGUUUUACUCGAUUGUGGCGACGUGAACUUGAACCUGAAUUGUUUGUGGUAAAUGAAACUUUGAUCUGAAGGAAAUGAUUGGUUAAUUAUUUAAUUGAAUAAACCGCUGAGUGUCGGUGUUUUAAUUGAUCUAAAUGUAAAUUAUAUAAUCCUGAUAUUCUAGAAUCGCAAUGGCCCCGAUAAAAAUAAUUUUGGCGAACGAUUGAUUCCGGCUUUCUAAAUUUCAAGUUCGCACAUAGGUAGAUAUUUGUCGUAUAGUUUAACCACGUAAUUUAAUAUAAUUUAUAUGCACUCGCUGCAAUAUGAGGUAACGGUAUUGAGCAGGGUAUUAUUUGUAAUAUGCGGAAAAUCUUUUCUCUUUUAAUAUUGCUCUUUCUUUAUUUUUUUCGUUGACGAUAAAUAAAUCAGAUAACUAUACGUCUGUGAUGUUUGAUAAUUUCGGUAUAUCUAGUUGCUACAGAUGAUAUUGGUCAGCAGAUCGAUGGUUUGUGUAAAAAGUAGAAAGUUGUACACUCGAUAUGUGAUACCGUACAUGCCUGUGUAUAAAAUAUAUACACUAUACAUUAAAAAUGAAGACCCUUCCUUACGUGAUGAAUACUAUCAUUAUUUUGGCAGCGCCAACGGAGCGGACAGAGCGCAUUGGACGUACUUAAUAAAUUGUGUGAAUCACAUACUUAUGGGUAAUCUUAUAUUGUGGAAGUUUGUUCGUUUUCCUGUUGGAUUACACAUAUGUGAAUGUGUUAUGGUACACGAAUUGUGUUUUAUGAAUGUGCAUGUACAGCACAGGAGGGUUACGAAAUCCUCGUUUAGGAUUUCGCUAGAUCACCAGACUGACAAUAAAUUGCAUGAAUAUAUUAGACGUCGCAUUUACUCAAUAUGAAUACGUUCAGUUUGCUGAUAAAGAUUUUUGGACUCAGGAUACAUGGGGAUACCGCAUCAGAAUCGAUGAAAAGGAUUCUAGAUUUUUAUGCCUACUAUCGAGAAAUAUCUAAAGCUACAGGCUUGACGUUUUUAGGGAUUGAAAAGUAAAGUAAUUGCGGGGAUAAUUUCAGAAUUAUGACGUAUUUUGAGCUCGGGAAUGCAAGUCCGUCGAGCACAUUAUGCGAUAAUUAAUCCUAUGGCAAUAUCUGGAUUUUUUCUACCGGACAAAUUGAAAUAAACGAUAACUUGAACAUAAGAUACCUCGACAAUUCAAUUCAUUCGUGAUUAUUCGCUUUCUUUUCUACUGUUACAGGAGUAAGAUUGGCAGCCUUCGAGCAACUCUGCUCUACUGAUGAUUCCAAAACACAAGACUCGACGGUGCAUCUACGUGGUUGUUCGUUUUAUUUGUAACUCGAUAAAAAUGAUGAACAUGCUAUAUCCAUCAUGUAGUAAUAUAUAUCGUACUUUCUGAAAUAAAUAAGUAAUAACUUGUAGAUUCAUGAAAGAGCCUUGAUCAAUUUCUUUGUGAUGCAUCCAUUGUAACGAAAGGUUUUUCUGUAUGAAUAAAUUCAUAAUAUACCUCA